ensembl:lncRNA
GUCGCAGCCUGCACGUGUGAGGGAGAGGACAUCGUGUCGGUCCUUUGCAAAAUCCACAAAGAGACAGGGAGAGAAGGAGGGUGGACACUCUGUAGUCUCGAGUAUCCGAGCUUUUGCGCUAUUUCCUCUCGGAUGCGAUUAAACCUAGACGCACAGGUGAAUUAAAACCCCAGGGUGGAAUUUGAAAUAUUUGGAGGAUAUGGACUGGUGGAGUGGAGUUAGCCUGGUGUGCAAAAAAAUGCCGGGAAUUUCAGCCCCUUAUUUAUCACCUCACAAUGAAGUCAAGCUGCCACCAGACAAGAUGAGGAGCAGCAAUCAGCCUGCAGAUGGAAACAAGGGUGGGUGGUUGGAAGGCUGGAUAAAGGCUGCUGGAUGACUGAACUCAGAGACCCGGCGCAGCUCAUCAUCAUUGCCAUGGGCUCUUGUCUUCUUCCUCUCCUCCUGUGGCUUGUACCUCCAUCCAGGGGUCCAGUAGAGCCAGUGAAGCCCAGGCGGGGAGCUAGUGAGUGGGCCGGGAAGGAUGGAGAAGGUCCCCAAAGGCUCAGAUCACCUCUGGAGCUACCGGCAUGCAGGAGAAAUCAAUAUGAAACAGAAAACCUUCACAGCUCUGAGUGGGGUUUCCUGUGUUUUAAGUGUGUGGCCUACGGGCCUGCAGACCUCCAAAAGACAGGUCCUGUGUGGUUCUCUCAGCUGCAGCCCUGGCUCCUUGGACUGGACCUCAGUCCCAAUCUCCACUGGCUGUGUGUGUGGUUCUGCUGAAGGGGAUUUCUCCCCAAAUAAUACCCAAUGCCCAGAACGUUGAAAGACUGCCAAGAGGGAUGCUCCUUUCUCUUGCCUUUUUUUUCCAUCAUAAGAUUGACGUAUCCCCCCAACCUCCUGCCUCGGGCUGAUAAAAAAAAAAAACAAAAUAAAAAAAAAAACACAGUUCGGGAGCUCUACUUUUGACUCAUUCUCCAUCCUCGACUCGCCCGUUGUUUAUUCCCCCAACUAGUUUUUACAUUUGACAAAGAGACAGAUCUUUAUUUUCUCUACCACUCGCUUGGCUUGCUGUUACUAUGGUGAGCUGUAGACACGUGUCUGUUCAAACAAGAAAUACUGGCACACGAAGUAUGAGCUUUUUUUUUUCUCCAUGAUGUCUAUUAUUCAAUUUCAGACUGUUUAAAAAAAACUGACUGAACAGCAAAGAGGGCUGGAGAUCAUAGAGCAGAGAGACCUUGUAGUGGAGAUGGUAAAAUGAUUGACGGCGCAGGAGAAAAAUCUGCUUGCGUUUGGCUCAAAGACCAGGCCUGUUCAUCUGUUGUUUUUCUGGUGUAUAACAAAACCUCAGAAACAAAGAUUUUGUUGUAAUAUGGGUUAACAUUGAUAUUUUAAAAACACCAAAAAAAAAAUGUUAUUUCAUUGUCUCUUAAGAUGUACUUUAUUGCCAACAAGCAUCUGGGGUUGAAUAAAGAAAUGUAUUUAAAGCUUUUAAAUAUAUAUUGUUUAUUGAGAGCCUUGUGUUUUGUUUGCUGUCCACUGCUGUAUUUGAUGCUCGUCAUUCGGCAAGAGUAUAGAGAAAAAUUUGAACUAAUUUUUUUAAUAAAAAGUCAGAUUGAUCACACCGCACUUUUAUUUUUGUGCCAGUUUUACAAUAAAGACUUUGUGUCUAAUGUAUAUAUAUGUGUGUGUAUAAACGCGCGGUCAAUAAAGUAACAUUAAUUUGAACCUCCUAUUUCCAGCUUUUUUUUUUUAUUACUUAGUUUUCAUUCUAAAUGCACAUUUCCCUAAAAUAUCUAAUAAGUCUAAUUUGGGCAUGAAGCUGUCACAUAUUUUUAUAAAGACCAAAAAAUGAUGGUGAAACUGAUUUUUUAACAUUCAGUUUAUUUUCUCACAUUUAUUUCAUUCAUUAUCGUAAGUCUAGCGCACUUAUAGCUAUUUACAAAACAAUACUACCUCCAGUGUCUUGUUACAUAAAGAAAUAUGCAAUAGAGAAAACUCACACAAUAACAUUUUCACUACAGUUAUUCUGACUUUUUGACAAACGUGGAAGUUUUUUUUGUUUGUUUGUUUUUUUAUUUGAUUUGUCUCAAUUUGCUGGUUUAGUGCAGAGGAAUAAACAGAAAUAUUAAAUCUUUUUGUUUUUACUUUUUAAAAAUUAUUUUUGUGUAGGCCCACACAUGCUAUUUGCCAUAAAAGACUGGUCUGUUUGUGCCUUUUUAAAUCAAACAGUGAAUGUAGAAUUUCUUUUCUUCUAGCUCAGCAAAAUUAGGCCCACACCAAACUGUGCUCAGACUCAGAGUGUAGUAGGUCAGGAAGAUUGGAAUAUUUGCAUUUUAAACAAACUGGCUUUUUGAAGCAUUUAAACAAAAAGGGGGGGAAAAGAUCGGGUUUUGAAGUUUUUAGCUACAUAUCUUUGACGUGGUUAAAAAACAAAAAUGCUCGCUAUACUGUCUACAGCACAGUUUUAAUAUUACUAACCAGAAAAGCAGGUGUAUUUGUAAAUCAAACACAAGGAGCUUAAUGGUAUAUUAU